rnacentral:rRNA from 1 species
UACGUAGGUGACCAGCGUUGUCCGGAUUUACUGGGCGUAAAGAGCGCGCAGGCGGUCGUUCAAGUCGAGUGUGAAAGCCCCCGGCUCAACUGGGGAGGGUCAUUCGAUACUGAUCGACUUGAAGGCAGGAGAGGGAAGUGGAAUUCCCGGUGUAGUGGUGAAAUGCGUAGAUAUCGGGAGGAACACCUGUGGCGAAGGCGGCCACCUGGACAACAACUGACGCUGAGACGCGAAAAGCGUGGGUAGCAAACAGG